AGCACUUUUGGGUUGCCAUUUUCAAUUGUCUUCUUUGUUGCUGCUACAUUAUUUACUCUACUGAAACUUUGUGAUUUAAUCUUCCCCAGGUUGUAAGUAUAUUUUGGUCUUAGAUAGCCAGCCAAGCUAAGCUAAGUAGAUGGAAGCAAUUGUUGAAGUUGAAGAUUGUGAAAGCGUUUAAGAUUUCUUAUUUAAGUCUUGUAUUAGGAUCUAGUUUCAUGCAUUAUUAUAGAAUGUAUAUACAAACGCAAUAUUAAGAUUUCAUUUUCUAUAUACAAAUGUAAAAGAAAAAUAUUGUAGUUCCUAAAAUAAUAUUAAUUUUA